rnacentral:lncRNA from 14 species
CUCUGGUGCUAUGGAGGGGUAAAGGUUGGGGUCCAGAUGGUUUAUAGUUUCUUUUUCAAGCACUUCUCUUAAUGUGACCCUGUGACAUCCGAAAACUGCAGGCAUGAAAUAAAAACUAGUUUGCCCACUGGGGCUAAACAGGCCACUAGGGUAGGGGAGUACAUAAGGAAGAACUCAGAUAAGGGGUCACAGGUAAUGUUUGAUCAAUCUCUGUUUCGGUGCUAUCUCUGUUAACCAGCUAAACAGUAUAUAAAUACCAGCAGGAAAAACAUUGUUCAUUCUUGAAGUGAACCCAGAGUCUCUUGUCCCUCUUUACCAUUACUCUCUUUUCCAGGUCCCUGUGAUUUCCAUGACUCUUAGCUUUGGCAAAUGAAGACAAGAGAAGCAUUGGGGCUUUCUGGCUGCCUGCUUCAAGAUGGUAUUUAAAAAAUCAUGGCAUAACUUCUCAUCCAGGGCUUGAUGCAUCCAUGUCAUUGCAUAUCAGCCUGUAAAGACUGUGCAGUAAGAAGAGAGGAGACACGGCCCAUAUUCAUGGAUAGAAGCAGCAAGGAGAGAAAACUACAAUUUACCCCGAAGAAUAAGACAUUCAGAGUAGGAGACUAGACCAAGACCUCCCACCAACUCAUCAAAGAGAAAAUGA